UCGCACCUAACCUGUUGAUUCUCUGAACACAGGUGUGUACUGGCUCAAAUACGGCAGACGACCCUGUACCAGCACUGCACUAACAAAGUGGAAAACUGACUGUUCCCUACUGUUAGCACUUUUCUACCAAAGCUGACUUGUAUAUUUUCUUUUUAUUUACAGUUAUAGAUGACUCCUGUCAGUAAGAAUACUUACUCCCGCUGUUAUGCUGCUCCUCACACACACACGCAUGCACGCACACAAACACACACACACACACACACACACAGCCUGUUAUAGUACACACACACACACAGAGCCUGUUAUAGUACACACACACACACCCACCCACAGAGCCUGUUAUAGUACACACACACACACCCACCCACAGAGCCUGUUAUAGUACACACACACACACACACACACACACACACACACACAGAGCCUGUUAUAGUACUGCUACACGCACACACACACACACACACACACACACACACACACACACACACACACACACACACACACACACAGCCUGUUAUAGUACACACACACACACACACACACAAACACACACACACAGAGCCUGUUAUAGUACUGCUACACGCACACACACGCACACACACGAUCAGCAUCCCUAGACCCCAAAACCAACCGUCGCGCACACCCCAAACGUGUGAUCACGUUUAGAGUGUAAAUGAAUCUAGAUGAUAUUUACCUUGGUGCCCCUGCGCAUCAGCCCAGUUCAACCCGUGCGGUUUCUCGUAGCACUUGGCGCGCGGAUUCCUCAAACAUUACAACUGUCAGCUAUCCUGAAACCUUUGAAGUUUGUAGGUGAAGUGUUGUCGCCGCUGCCAACUAAAUGACCCCAUGAAGACGGGGACACCAGUGUUACAUUCUAUUAAGGUGAAGGCUGCAUGGGAGGUGAUUGGCCUGGAUUUAAUUGGCCCACUGCGAGAAACUGGUCAAAAAAACAAGUAUGUGUUGACCAUGACUGAUUUAUAUACAAAGUGGGUUGUUGCUGAGCCACUGCAAAAUAAGACUGCAACUGAAGUGUCAGCAGCCAUCAUAAAGACACUCUACUUGUUCGGCAUGGUCAAGAAAAUUAUUACUGACCAAGGGAGAGA